rnacentral:rRNA from 1 species
AUUGAACGCUGGCGGCAGGCCUAACACAUGCAAGUCGAACGAGUGGCGGACGGGUGAGUAAUGUCUGGGAAACUGCCCGAUGGAGGGGGAUAACUACUGGAAACGGUAGCUAAAACCGCAUACCAUCGGAUGUGCCCAGCUGGGAUUAGCUAGUGGGUGGGGUAACGGCUCACCUAGGCGACGAUCUCUCGCUGGUCUGAGGGGAUGACCGGCCACACGGGAACGGGGACAGGGUCCAGACUCGUACGUGAGGCAGCAGGGGGGCAUCUUCGACAAUGGGCGGAAGCCGGUUGCGGCCAUGCCGGGUGUAUGUAGAAGGCCUUCGGGUUGUAAAGGACGUUCAGCGAGGAGGCGUUGCUCGCAGAAGAAGCACCGGCUAACUCCGUGCCAGCAGCCGCGGUAAUUC